CCAAUUAAAUUUUUUUUGUUUCAACAAUUCUUAUCAAGCCUACUGAUUAACAUCAUGCCAAUUUUAAAGAUAUAUCAUGAAAAGCAAACAAAGCAAUUGUGUGCCCUCCACGCUCUCAACAAUAUAUUCCAAGGUAAGUUACAUUUCACUGAAAUGCUUUUGAAUACCAUUCUGAUAAACUGACAUGAAUAUAUGCAUGUUAAUAUACAUAUGUAUGUAUGUAUAAAAUAACUGUAUUGCCAGAACAUAUUUACAGAAAGGAAGAGCUGGACAAUAUAUGCAUUAACUUAAGUCCCAACGUAUGGAUAAAUCCUCAUCGAUCCCUUCUUGGACUCGGAAAUUAUGAUAUUAAUGUUAUUAUGACCGCCUUAGAGCUAAGAAAUUGUGAGGCCUUUUGGUUUGAUAAACGAAAAGACCCGUCUGGCAUUGACUUAGAUUCAAUUGUGGGUUUUAUACUCAACAUUCCAUCAGAUUACAAGAUCGGCACAAUAACAUUGCCAUUACGAAAAAGACACUGGAUAGCAGUGCGUCGUAUAGGGCAGCACUACUAUAAUCUUGAUUCCAAACUUCCACAGCCUGAGUUAUUGGGAACUGAUUCCGAUGUGCUCCAGUUUUUGCGAGAACAGCUUGAGGAAAAGGAACAGCAGCGUGAACUUUUUCUUGUAAGUUAUCGUAACGACUGUACUGGACCAUCACAGCGAUGCAUGGAAGAGUCGCACGACAUAAAUAAAACAACACGUUCAACAUGAUGUUUAACAAAAAUUUCAUAAAAACAUGAAUGAAAUGGAGGUAAAAUGAAUUUGUUUAAGGUAAAAAACAUCUCAGCUAGGGGUUUCUAAGCAGAAAAAGUUAAAGAGCCACAUUAUUCUUUAUAUGGGUUAACGAUCUGUUAUACAUUAUGAAAACAGGUAAUAAACUAUCUCAAACCACGUUUGAAACGUUUUUUUAAAUUUAUUUCGAGUUUUCUUAAAAUAGUGGUAGUACAAUUUGAAAUAAUAUGCAUUAAUGGACGGAUAUGUUUCAAUUAACAGUGAUUACACUUGGAUACACUCUAAUUGAAGGAAUGAAUCGUGAUAAAAUUAUUAAUCGAGACGUUACUAAAAUAUGUAUGUAGAUAUGUUUAGAUUGGGUGACUUCAACAGUUAUAUAUCUGUUUGAAUUCCUCCAUGUGGCGGAAUGUUAGGCUUACGUCCUGACUGAGGACGACGCGGACGGCUUGGUUCUGGUACAAAGUAAGAUUGGGACGGUGAUGGAGCAGUCGGGGUAGUUUCGACAUUUGCCUGGUGCUGAUAGCAGUCGUCUCCGUAUUCGCUAACUUCCCGAUUACUUAUUUCGUUGAGGCGCUUGUAGCGUUCGCGACGGGCUUCAACCAUGUAAAGUAUUCCUCCAGGUAACAACAAUACAGCUCCAACCACGCCCAACGCAAACGACCAGCCCAUGUCAUUAUUCUGCCAUCCAGGCAUCCAGUCCCGAGAGUCUCCCUUGGCACCGAAAAUUACUACUGCAAUAAAUCCAAAAAUCGAGCCCAACACUUGGCAAGUCCCAAUGGUCAGUAGCAGCACAACGUAUCGAUCAUCGUCGCGAGAGGUCAUCAAGAAGGCCAGUGUAAGAGGCAGGCCAAUAAGGCACAUGACGAAGCAAAGCGUUGCAAAUAGCUGCACUGCUACAUAGAACCCCGGUAGUAGAAAAUCGUGUAUGAUGUAGUAUUCCUCUUCAAAGACCCACAUGCAUCCGUUGAAAGGGUUGUCGUAGAAACGGUGAAUGUCCUGAAAAUCAUUGAAGCACACUUCCCAUAAACCCAGAUUGGUAAAGCGUGGCUUUUCUAAACGCCCAUCUGUAACCAACCAAUAGGGUGUUGAAAACGCAAUGAUAAAAAGCAGAAAUGAAAUCCCGGAAACGCAAAGAGCCACUUGCGUACUGCGGUUCGACGCCCCCAUUUUCGAUCGCGGGAUAGUUUCCGUUUGACUAUACAACCGAAAAAAAAACACCCAAGCCUUUGCGUCAUAAACACAACACACGCCCUGUAGUGUAACCGUCUAACAAAAAAAUACCGCUUUUUAAAAUAAAAUACGUAUGAAUUAAA
rnacentral:lncRNA from 1 species